AGGGAAGUAGUUAAGUAACUAACAUUUAAAUUGCAAUUAAAAAACACCAAAUAAGGUCUUCCUUG
rnacentral:tRNA from 1 species